rnacentral:snRNA from 14 species
GUACUACCUGUCAGAGGAAACAUCAUGAUCACCAGGCUUUUUGUGGGCUAAGAGGUGCUUUUCCCAGAGUGAGAUCUGUCCCUUGCACUCCCAACACACUGACCCCUGCGAUUAUCCAAAUGCAGGAAACGCAACUGCACAAUUUUGUGGCAGAUGGGGACUGCUUUCCCCAU